UACUGCUUGACGGGGUGCCGGUGGAACCGGCUGAGAUCGCUAUACGGCUGGCUGCUGCAGCAAGUCGUCACGGCGGGGCCCGUUGAACCUGAUCCGGCUAGUACCGGCGUAGGAAUCAAGCGGUGGUUGGGG
rfam:Halomonas meridiana strain R1t3 scaffold_6, whole genome shotgun sequence.